rnacentral:lncRNA from 1 species
AUGCCAAUUUAUCCUGUCAGCGCCGAUGAGUUUGAAGGAAUAACCCUCACGCAAACAGACAUUGAUCUGUUAGCCAGGGCUGAAAGAUUGGUAUCCGAAGACAACCAAGAAACUGAAAAAGCAGUAAAAGCAUUGCUGUGUUCUGAAACCCCACCCCCCGUGCAGGGGACAAAUUGCUGUGUAACUGAAAUUGGUGAAAUUGAGAUUGAGAGCAGACCCUCGGCACUUCAACAUGGGACUGACUCAAGUAAGCAGACGAACAAACUCUCCAGAAGACGUGUGAGACAGCCAGGAGGACCGAAGUCGACUGUACAAGAACCAUCAAAACAGAACCUUCAAACGUGCGCCUCUCUGAGCACUGUGACUCCCACGGCAGCUCCACUCUCCCGUGAACCUUCUGCCCCUGCGAGGAGACGUAGAAUACGGCAAGCGUGUACCACUCUGACCCCUGUACUUACAGCGGGACCCACGGCAGCUCCACUCUCGCUUUCACCAGAUCCUUUCGAACCUGCGAGGCCGAUAAGGAGACGUAGGAACCAGAGACACAAGUCUAACAUU